GCCUGGAGCACUGCGGACCGGUGGCUACUCCAGUCUGAAGAUGGGAAGCCCCGGGAAAUUCCUUUCUUUCCACUCUCUCCUUCUCCACCGCGCCGAGAAGCCUUCAGCGACACGCUAGAGUACUCUGGGACACGCUUAGCAUUCUCUGGAGUUCUGCCUCUCCCCCAGGAUUCUUGUGUCUCUCCUGGGUCUUACUAUAACCUCUCCCCGGGGAUCCCUUCCUCUCCCUCCUGGGUCUCCCCUUAUGUUUUCCGCAGCCUUCUCCACCCCCACCCCCCCAUCGGCCUGCCCCAAAUCCUCUUCCUGGAAGCGCGUCCAUCCCCCUCCCCUGCCCUCUCUUCUCUGUCCCGUGACUCCCCACUUCCUAUUCGAACUCCUCUCCCCACAGGGCUGCCCUGACCCCUCCCCGGAUCCCUUGUCUCCACCUUACCCCCGGGGAGCUUUAUUUUUCCCUGGCUCCCAUUUAUCCAGUGUUCAGUCUUCUCUUUCCUAAGCACCCCCUCCUUUUCCAAGGGUGUUGUUCCCCCCCCCCCUCCUCCAAGAAUACUGUGGACUUGCAGCUCGAGACACAGCUCUCCUCACCCCCAUACCCCCCCCCCCCCCCCCCCCCCCCCCCGCCAAACAGACAGGCUCUGAGCUUUCCGUACCUGCUUUGUCCCCUACUCCAGAAGAGGCCAAGCUCAAGGGCCCGCCUGAGACUGAGACUGAGGGCACUUGUACAUUCUCGUAGGAUGUGACCCUAAAGGGCUUACUUCCACAGGUGGGAAGAAGCUGGAACAAGACAAGAACCAAUACACAAGCGAGCAAGGCCUGGAGGCCAGGUGAAAUACCAAACCAAGUUUCCAGUAUGUGCUCAAAAAAAGAACCAAUGGAUAUGCUGCCUAAAUGGGACCUUGGAGAGGCUUCAAGAGAGAAGGUCCCCAAAUGCACCUGGAGUGAGCUAAACUGCACAUCCACAAUGGCAUAGACAACUUAAGCAGUCUUGGCCUGUGUCUC